rnacentral:rRNA from 1 species
CCUACGGGGCGCAGCAGUAGGGAAUCUUCCACAAUGGGCGAAAGCCUGAUGGAGCAACGCCGCGUGGGUGAAGAAGGUCUUCGGAUCGUAAAACCCUUUUGUUAGAGAAGAAAGAUCGUGAGAGUAACCGUUCCCGUUUCGACGGUAUCUAACCAGACAGCCACGGCUAACUACGUGCCAGCAGCCGCGGGAAUACGUAGGUGGCAAGCGUUAUCCGGAUUUAUUGGGCGUAAAGGGAACGUAGGCGGUCUUUUAAGUCUGAUGUGAAAGCCUUCGGCUUAACCGGAGUAGUGCAGUUGAAACUGGGAGACUUGAGUGCAGAAGAGGAGAGUGGAA